AUGAACGCUGGCGGCGUGCUUAACACAUGCCAGUCGAACGAAGCACUUUAUUUGAUUUCCUUCGGGACUGAUUAUUUUGUGACUGAGUGGCGGACGGGUGAGUAACGCGUGGGUAACCUGCCUUGUACAGGGGGAUAACAGUUGGAAACGGCUGCUAAUACCGCAUAAGCGCACGGCAUCGCAUGAUGCAGUGUGAAAAACUCCGGUGGUAUAAGAUGGACCCGCGUUGGAUUAGCUAGUUGGUGAGGUAACGGCCCACCAAGGCGACGAUCCAUAGCCGACCUGAGAGGGUGACCGGCCACAUUGGGACUGAGACACGGCCCAAACUCCUACGGGAGGCAGCAGUGGGGAAUAUUGCACAAUGGGCGAAAGCCUGAUGCAGCGACGCCGCGUGAGCGAAGAAGUAUUUCGGUAUGUAAAGCUCUAUCAGCAGGGAAGAUAAUGACGGUACCUGACUAAGAAGCACCGGCUAAAUACGUG
rnacentral:rRNA from 1 species